rnacentral:rRNA from 1 species
GACGAACGCUGGCGGCGUGCCUAAUACAUGCAAGUAGAACGCUGAAGAGAGGAGCUUGCUCUUCUUGGAUGAGUUGCGAACGGGUGAGUAACGCGUAGGUAACCUGCCUUGUAGCGGGGGAUAACUAUUGGAAACGAUAGCUAAUACCGCAUAACAAUGGAUGACACAUGUCAUUUAUUUGAAAGGGGCAAUUGCUCCACUACAAGAUGGACCUGCGUUGUAUUAGCUAGUAGGUGAGGUAAUGGCUCACCUAGGCGACGAUACAUAGCCGACCUGAGAGGGUGAUCGGCCACACUGGGACUGAGACACGGCCCAGACUCCUACGGGAGGCAGCAGUAGGGAAUCUUCGGCAAUGGGGGCAACCCUGACCGGGCAACGCCGCGUGAGUGAAGAAGGUUUUCGGAUCGUAAAGCUCUGUUGUAAGUCAAGAACGGGUGUGGGAGUGGAAAGUUCACACUGUGACGGUAGCUUACCAGAAAGGGAGGGCUAACUACGUG